CAUCGAUCCCCUCCUCCCAUCACACCCCUCCUUCCCCCAUCUCCUCGCCGCCGCCAUCGACGGCGCUCCCCUCGAUCCCUCCCACCGCCGUCUCCCUCCCUCAGAUCAAGCUCCCCCUCCCCUCUCCCUCCCACCUCUCGAAGCUCUCGCGUCCCACCGCUGCUACUGACUACCACGCCGCCGCCGCCUACCACGCCGUCGCGGCCGGCCACGAAGGCCAGUACCCGUACUACUCCUACGGCGGUGGCGCCGACGCCUUGUGCCACUGUGGCAGGCCAGCGACGGCAGCCGUGCCCACCGAGGAGGGCUUCUUCGACGACAUCUUCUGCACCCGUGCACGUCAGGGCAGUCGAGGUCCAGGUGCAAGUCCACCAAGUUCUCGUCGGUGAUCAGCUCCGGCAGCUCCGCCUUCCGGUCACCGGCCAAAAGUGGCGGCGCGGCAAUGCUGCCCUCUCCUCCUUCACGUUCAAGCUUAGGUGAACCAGGCAUCAGGUUCCACUUCUUGGUGGAGCGAUGUGCGCGUGCACCUGGCAUUUCUUCUACAACUCAGUGUCUCUCGAGGACGUCACCAUGGGAGAAGAGGGCGUGAUGUCUUGUGCUGCUGCUUGGGAGGGACGCCACGGGCCUCCCUCCACUUCUUCUUCUCUUCCCCUAACUCCAUCAAGGUGAUGGAUUGGUACAAUGACCUACUCCCCUGCUUCCUAUGCUAAUUUGGUGUGCAAUGUGGAUGUGAUGUAUUUUAGGCACGAUUAAAUACGUAUUUUCGUUCAACUUUGACUGAAACAACUUGUUGUUUUAGUUUCUUGUAUGAAGAACAAAUAUGACGAACACAUUUUCUUUUCCUUUUUGUUCAAGAUUCAUUUCUAAUUAUAAACCAAACUGAAAUUGCAAAUAGUCUAGAAUGAAUGAAGCAGAGAGUCCUUCCUUCUUUGGCAGCUGGCACAAUUCCUUGUACAAUUCCUUCUCAAGGUGCUGGUGUUUGUGGAGGUGAUUGACCUCUUUUUUUUCACUCUGUGUAUCAAGGUGCAACUGCUGAGGAUUGAUAGGUGUUGUUCGGUGUACCUCGACAUGAUUUCCAGGACAUGAAAUCGGCAACAGGAUUUGCAGAGUACAAGGGUGGGCUCAUCGAGGUUUGUGGUGGUAGGCUCGCUCGGCCCUGGCAUCUUCUGUUGAACGGACAUGCUGCCUCUUCAGUGUCGGCUACAUGAGAGCCAUGGAAUCAAUGAAGCUGACCUCCUUGUAGAGUUGUGCGAGGUACCAAAUGAUGACCUACUCGCGCAGUUGUGAUAGAUCCUUUGGUGGAGGUGACCCAUGUGAUGGUGAUUCGCUCCAACAGUUCUGGUCUGGAAGUGGUGGUGCUACACUGCUACUGCUCCUAUGAUGGCUAUGCAUUGGUAGGCUCGGCAGCCUCCCUUGGCUGUCGUUGUGAUGGUGAAGCUCGGCCUAGGCUACAACCACUUCCGAUGAGCUCCUCAGGUCGCCUUCUACCCCUCCUACUCACUCCAUGAUUCUUUGCUUUGCCUUUGUGAGGUGUAAUUGUUUAAUUCUUGUCAUAGUCGAGAAUUGGAUGAUAUAUUGUAUCUGUCAUGAGGUACAUGGUUCAUGGAUAUGCCAACCUGCAGCUUGUUGUACUAGUGAUAGUAGGAUAAUGCAAGUUUUGACAAUCCAUACAUAUUCCUGCAUGUUAGUGUCUCUCCAUGUAAGUACGAAUUCUAGUGAGAAGAAUACAAUUAUUAUUUAACCAGUCCAGAUUUUCAACAUUUGAUGUGCUUCCAAGGGACACAGAUCUCUACUCUUCUAUAUAAUACACACUUUGUUCUACAAGCAAGUCAGUUGUACCAUGUUGUUACAUCACAACAAGGUGUCAUUUGAUGUACUAUUGUUGUUGAUGCUCCCUAGAGUCUAGAUGUAGAUGUACUGUUGCUGUUGAUGCUCUAGUUGUAGCCUGUACUAUUGCUGUUUUGCAACUACAGUGUUAGUUUCGCUGCUGCUAGCUGUUGGCUGCUACUAGUUAGUACUUAAUAGUUAUUGCUAGCAGUGCUAGUAGCUACUGCUGCUGAUAUUGCUUGUGCAAUUGUGCUAGUAGCCAGUAGAUGUUCAUUGCAUGACCUGCACUAGUAGCUAGUAGAUGUGUUGGUACCUGUACGCUAGUACUGUUGGUGUGUUGAAUGUCUUAGUAGAACAUCAUCAGGUUGAUGUGUUGUAGUCAAGUUUUGGAAGUUUUGCCAUGCCAUGCUGAGUGUUUACUGAACUGAGGUAUUUGGGGAUUUAUGUGUAAUUUUAUUCUCUUGAAUGGAUAUUUUUUAUUGGCAAUCAUUUAACUUCCACUGUAUCUCACUUAUAAUGUUUUUGAGGUGGCUGCUGUUGUGACCAUGAUCCGAAGAAGCUUGGAGAUGUGCACUAUAGUUUUAGUUGAUGUUGCCACCAUGUUUUGAUGCAUGUGUAUUUAUUUUUGAUUGUAUGCAAACUUGAUGGAUCAUGCAGACGUAUAUGUGUGGUUGUGAGUUUCAUUGAGUGAUUUCUGGAUUUGAUUAUUUA